CCCCUAGAUGUUCUGGGCCGCACGCGCGCUACACUGAACAGUUCAACAAGUCUUAACCUUGGCCGAUAGGUCUGGGUAAUCUUUGAACGCUGUUCGUGAUUGGGAUAGACCUUUGCAAUUAUGGGUCUUCAACGAGGAAUUCCUAGUAAACGCAAGUCAUCAGCUUGCAUUGAUUACGUCCCUGCCCUUUGUACACACCGCCCGUCGCACCUACCGAUUGAAUGGUCCGGUGAAAUCUUCGGACCGUAACUUUGAUUUGUUUACUCAAAACGCUGUUACGGGAAGUUGAUUAAACCUUACCAUUUAGAGGAAGGUGAAGUCGUAACA
rnacentral:rRNA from 1 species